rnacentral:lncRNA from 1 species
UUUGUCCCGACCAUUAUUCAAAGAAAGAAACAGAAGGAAGAAGAGCAACCGAGUAGAGUCGAGUGAGGUUCCAUCGAGGUUCCGGUCCACGGCUCUGUCAUUACAUCAAAAUGAAAAUUCUAAGUUAAAAACAUAAAUGAAUAUACAAAAACCCUAUCUAUACAGCUUCUGUUGGACUCCUGACUUAAGUUUCAUCACCCUAUUCUUCAG